rnacentral:rRNA from 1 species
UACGAAGGGGGGCUAGCGUUGUUCGGAAUUACUGGGCGUAAAGCGCACGUAGGCGGACAUUUAAGUCAGGGGUGAAAUCCCCAGAGCUCAACUCUGGAACUGCCUUUGAUACUGGGUGUCUUGAGUAUGGAAGAGGUGAGUGGAAUUCCGAGUGUAGAGGUGAAAUUCGUAGAUAUUCGGAGGAACACCAGUGGCGAAGGCGGCUCACUGGUCCAUUACUGACGCUGAGACGCGAAAGCGUGGGGAGCAAACAGG